rnacentral:rRNA from 1 species
AUUGAACGCUGGCGGCAGGCUUAACACAUGCAAGUCGAGCGGGGAAGAGUAGCUUGCUACUUAACCUAGCGGCGGACGGGUGAGUAAUGCUUAGGAAUCUGCCUAUUAGUGGGGACAACAUCUCGAAAGGGAUGCUGAUACCGCAUACGUCCUACGGGAGAAAGCAGGGGACCUUCGGGCCUUGCGCUAAUAGAUGAGCCUAAGUCGGAUUAGCUAGUUGGUGGGGUAAAGGCCUACCAAGGCGACGAUCUGUAGCGGGUCUGAGAGGAUGAUCCGCCCCACUGGGCCUGAGACACGGCCCAGACUCCUACGGGAGGCAGCAGUGGGGAAUAUUGGCCAAUGGGGGGAACCCUGAUCCAGCCAUGCCGCGUGUGUGAAGAAGGCCUUUUGGUUGUAAAGCACUUUAAGCGAGGAGGAGGCUACCGAGAUUAAUACUCUUGGAUAGUGGACGUUACUCGCAGAAUAAGCACCGGCUAACUCUGUGCCAGCAGCCGCCGUAACAC